rnacentral:rRNA from 1 species
CAGUCGCCGCGGUAAUACGGAGGGUGCAAGCGUUAAUCGGAAUUACUGGGCGUAAAGCGUGCGUAGGCGGUUCGUUAAGUCUGUUGUGAAAGCCCCGGGCUCAACCUGGGAAUGGCAAUGGAUACUGGCGAGCUAGAGUGUGUCAGAGGAUGGUGGAAUUCCCGGUGUAGCGGUGAAAUGCGUAGAGAUUGGGAGGAACAUCAGUGGCGAAGGCGGCCAUCUGGGACAACACUGACGCUGAGGCACGAAAGCGUGGGGAGCAAACAGGAUUAGAUACCCCCGUAGUCCCUGUCUCUUAUAC